AAUAUUGCGCAAUGGGGGGAACCCUGACGCAGCGACGCCGCGUGAGUGAAAAAGGUCUUCGGAUCGUAAAGCUCUGUCAUCGGGGACGAAGGUAUGACGGUACCCGAAGAGGAAGCCCCGGCUAACUACGUGCCAGCAGCCGCGGUAAUACGUAGGGGGCGAGCGUUGUCCGGAAUUAAUGGGCGUAAAGGGUGCGUAGGCGGCCUUUUAAGUCAGAUGUGAAAGGCUACGGCUUAACCGUAGUUAGCAUUUGAAACUAAAAGGCUUGAGUGCAGGAGAGGAGAGUGGAAUUCCUAGUGUAGCGGUGAAAUGCGUAGAUAUUAGGAGGAACACCAGUGGCGAAGGCGACUCUCUGGACUGCAACUGACGCUGAGGCACGAAAGCGUGGGGAGCGAACAG
rnacentral:rRNA from 1 species